GAUGAACGCUGACAGAAUGCUUAACACAUGCAAGUCGAUGGGGAAGUGGUGCUUGCACCAUGGCAACCAUGGCGGACGGGUGAGUAACGCGUAAGGGACUUACCUGCAGGACUGGGAUAACAGGGGGAAACUCCUGACAAGACCGGAUAAUGUCAUGGAGCUGCAUGGCUUUAUGAUGAAAGGAGACGCCUGCGGAGAGCCUUGCGUCCUAUUAGCUAGUUGGUGAGGUAAUGGCUCACCAAGGCGAAGAUAGGUAGCCGGCCUGAGAGGGUGGACGGCCACAAGGGGACUGAGAUACGGCCCUUACUCCUACGGGAGGCAGCAGUGGGGAAUAUUGGACGAUGGGGGCAACCCUGAUCCAGCAAUUCUGUGUGCACGAAGAAGGUUUUCGGAUUGUAAAGUGCUUUCAGCAGGGAAGAAGUAAGUGACGGUACCUGCAGAAGAAGCGACGGCUAAAUACGUG
rnacentral:rRNA from 1 species